AACCAGCUCAUUUAAUGAGGGAUGAAGAGGAAGCAGAGCCCUCAGAACAGGAGGAAGGGGCAGAGACAACCAAUCCCUAACCCAAGGUGAGAUGUGAGCCAUGAAAACAUUUCAGCUGCCAGUCAGGUGACCCAGCUGGGAUAUCACAGCCCAUUACAUGAAAAUAGAUGGCAGUCUAUUUUCUAUGAACCCUGUCCCAGCAUGUGGGCAUUGACAAAAGGAGAUUGGAGAGAGGACAGAAACUCUCAGCCUCUGAAGGCAACUCCUGUCAAGCAUGAGGACAAGGGAUUCUUUCAAGGAUGAUCUAAUACCACACCCAGGCAGCUGGAAGGCCAUGGGGAAAUGGAGCCAGCUCCUGAGAGAAUUAGCUGUCCUGGAGGGAAUCUGUAGGGAUUCAAACAAUGAGCAGUCCCCUGUGGAUCCAGCUGAGGUCUCAUGUACACCAUCCAUGAGGUGGAAGUUUGCACAGAGCUCCAUCAUUGUACACCACCUGAUUGGCAGUGAUGUCAUGGAAAGAAUGGGAGCAAACAGAGCUUCAGGUGACUGCCUGUGGCCCUGGCAGAACAAAGAUCAUCUUUUUUCCUCCCCAAAAACUCCUCUUUACUUCUCAGCUGUGGACUGUCCAAGACUGCAGGGAGAUUUGAAAGACUUAAUCAUCUUUAAAUCUUAUAUCACCUGCAAACGAUAGCAUGCUCACAUGAUUUUGUGAAUAAACCAAAUAAUUUAUUAUUUUGCCAGUUGAGGGGGGCACUAGAAAGGCUACAGACACCAGUGGAAAGAAUGGUCUUAUUUUCCUACUGAUAUCAAGGCAACACAAUAAUAAAAGGAUACAUUUAAUAAAACAACAACCUUACUAUGCAUUUGGCAACAAGAAAAAUAAGCAAGGUAAUGCAUCUAAUCAUUAUGAGAGAGAGAAUAGUGAUUGAGAAAGACAUAUCACCAAAUACUUCACCAUACAUCAUCCAGAUCUGCUGGGGAGCCCCUGUUGCACCAAGGGCUUGAAAACUUCCCCAGUAACUGGGAGAUCUCACACAGUGCAUCCACUCACAGGUGAGGUUCCCAAAGCUGCUGUAAGGGGGGUCCAGCUUUUAUACCACACUUCCCAAUCUUUCAGGAUGUGACAUCAAUAACAGGGUUCUUUUCCCCAGGACUGAGAGUGAUGAGACAGAGGUUAUCUUCUCACAUUCAGACUUGGCUGUUUAUUCUUCUCUUAUCUAGAUUACAUAUAUACAGAGUACAAGAAGCUUUAUACACUAAGAUAGAGAGGUGCAAAAUGGCUAACCAAGAACUUCUUCAAGGUCUUUUAUAUGUCUAUUUGUCCAAUUAACAAAUGCCAAGUAAAUUAUUUUUCUUAAUGACCCAAUGACCCGACACCUGUGUGCUGCACUGUGGCAUCUUCUAUCCAAUCCCUUGUUAUUACCCAAAAAUCCCUAGAAGAAGAAGAAGGAGGAAGAAGGAGGAAAGGAACAACACCCUAAAUUCUCCAUCUUGUCUCUUAUUUUUUAAAAUAGCUUAAACCUUUAACUUUCUCACCCAGUGAUUUAAGAAAGCUCUCUAACUUACACACUCACAUUUCCAGUUUCUCUAUUUAACCUUAACAGGUGUCUCCGUGGUGUUAUGUGAAAUUCAGUGCUUUCUUGGGUGUCAGAGCCAGGUAUCACAGAUAAGGGUACAAAUCUUGUGCUUCUGAUCCCAACACCCCCCCCAACAACAGACAACACCUGAUGGCUCCUCUGCCACACUUACUGACUAGACUGGGACCCCUUCUCCCUCAAAGACACUCCCUUCUCCCUGUGCCCAGCCAUGAUGUAAGAUGGUAUAGAAUAACUAAAGUUCUCCCUAUGUAACUUCAUCAUACUUAGAUUCAGGGGAAAAAAAAAAUAAAAAUCUUGAAGUUAUAUAAUUUCCGAUAAUUUGAAUUUGUACACUAAAAAGUCUAUCCAGAAACUCAUGACCAUGCAUGACAAUAUUAAUAGCCCAUUUUUUUAUGUCCUAGAUUAUAUACACUUUUUUCAAGAAAAUGUGAUACUCACAUGACUUUUCCUGAAUUUAAAUGAACAGCAGGAGUACUCUACAAGAUCCUCACUGGCAUCUGGAUUUCCUGUAGUUUGGCUGGUCUAUAUAAACCAACCAGUUUUUCGGCAGAGUGAAUAUUAAUAUUAUGGUCUGUGAGAUGUAACACAGUAAUUUAUAGCUUUCUGCAUAGGGAUGGAGCUGUAAAUAAAGCUCCACACAGAUGCUCUGGUGCCCUAACACAAAAGGUCAGGCAGGACACGGUGCUCAGACAAGGAGGCUGUGGGAUUUCAAGUAUCAAAGCCCCAAAGCAAACAAGUGAAAAGCUGUCCUUGAAAAAAAACAUCCAGGUGGGGAGCAAAAGGAUACUUAAUGGCAGUUUACUGAAAGAGAAUAUAUAGUGAAAAAAAAGUCAAAGAGUGAAGGAAUAACAAGGAAAAUGAAACUAAGGAAGGAAAUCAAUCUCAGCUAAUCAUUUCAGCAGCUAACAAGGUGUAAUUGCAAUGAUGCAUAAAGUGACAAAUAAUAAAUAUGUCUGUGCUGAAAUGUGAACUUUAUUGCAUUCUGUUUUUCACAGAAUCAUACAACAGUCUGUGAUUAAAGAUCAUCUAGUCCAACUUCCUGGCCAGGUGGAUCUUAGAGCAAAUCAAAUUGCUCAACACUGGUCAAACUGAUAUUGAGCACUUUCAUUGAUGGGGCAUCCACAACUUCUCUGUAACACCUGUAUGAGUGUCUCACCAGCCUCAUUGUAGAACAAAAAUUUCCUUUUAGCCAGUCUAAACCUACUGUCAGUUUGAAAGCAUCGCCCCUUGUCCUGUCUCUGCAGACCUUCAUAAAAAGUCUCUCUCCACGUGCCUUAUAUACCCUCUUUAUGUAUUCAAAGGCCACAAUACUGUCUCUCCAGAAGCCUCUUUUCUCCAGGCUAGAAGAUCCUACAUUUCACAAGAACUAGGUAAUAAAUUAAGAUGGAAGACAUCUCGAGAUCAGAUCAUCCAACAGCUCAGAGUAAGAAUAACGCUGAAGUUAAAUCAACUGGCUUAGGGCCUGUGUCUGUUUGAAUUUUGAAAAUUAUGAGGAAUUGAAACACUUAAAGAAAGAUAACUCUGGGUGGCUCCAACAGCCUGAGAAACUCGAGGCUACUGCUGCUUUCUGUCCCUCAGCCCAUGCAGUCAUGAAGUGCUCCCAGCAGGCACACACACACAAAGCACACGUAUACACUACAUAUAGAUUACAAGCAUCACCAGCAGCCACAUCCUUCUCCCUUCUGUGGCUGGGAAGAGUGAGGCUGGAUGUUCACAUGUGGGCAAACUGGAUCCCUCCAGCAGCUCAGACACAGCCUGCCCAGUGACCCCACAUUCCAGUAUUGCCAAGGCCACAGCACUACUCCAGUUUCUGGUACAGACCAUCACACACCCCCUAAAUCAGUCAGGACUCCCCUGGUACCACAGCCAGCACCCACUCACUCGCCCCCAGGCCAUUCCAUUGCUCACCAACUCCUCCAGUUUGAUCUUUGCUGGUGUUCACAAUACUGGCACACCCACUUGUGCUGCAGUUGCUGUCCCUGGGUGCAAAGGACUUGUAAAGCCAGGUUUCCUAACAGGAGCUACACAAUCUUUCAGACAAACCUUUUCCAGGGUAUGAACAAUCUCACUGUUAACUUUUUAUUUUCCGUAUGUGAAAUCAAAUUUUUCUUAUUUCUUUUGUUAUUAUGCCCAAAACAAGGCACAAACUCCAUUGUGCUUUCUGUUUCACAUGCUGACUGUUUGCAUAGAGUGCCAGGAGAAUAUCUGUUUUGGUCAAAGAUAAUCUCUGUCCCUUUAGUACUAUUUCUUCAUUUAUUUCUGCUUUGCUGUUUAUUUGAUGUCCCAUUGAAUUGUUGGAUCAUAAACAGAAUAUCCAUCUAUAUAGUUGUACUGCAGUGAUGAUAAAUACAAGAGAAGGAGAAGAUUGAUUGCUAGACUCUUCCUAGAAACUGAGAAAUCAAUUAAUUAAUGCUGACCACAGUAGGUGAAGGAAACAUGCUAUAUGAUGUCAAUGCAAUGAAGUAUUACAGUUUUAUGAUUACAGCCAAGGCACUGCUUUUGAAGCCGUAAGUGGAGUACAGGGAACCUUAAAAGACUGCACUGUAACUGCUGUCCAUGCUCACUGAGGAGAGAAUGCUUUUCCAGCAGAGCAGGUCUCACUGCAGGUAAAUCAUGUCUUCAACUGCCUCAAAAAACCCCAUCAAAACCCAAAUGAAAGUAUCUGGGAAAAAACCAAACCCAAAGGAGUCUCUGCAUGUGACAUCAACUUUCUUUUUUUUCCUAAGUUCUGAAUUCCAUUUACUUCCUAGCCAAUUUUUCUCCCCAACCUGAGAUGUAAUUUAUGGUUUUCCCAUAUCUAAUUAGCUUAGAAUUUGAUUGCCUCUAUUUAAAAGGACAGAAACAAGUUGUUAAUUUCAGACUGAAACCCACAGUGUUGGGAACAUCAAUACUUUGACCUAACUUUUCUUAAUAAAACCAAAACUUUAAAGCCUUAUCCAUGUAUUUUGGAAGUGGAAAAAGUUUUACAUCUAUUAACAUCCAACAACAUAUUCACUGUCUGCUAUGAUAUUAUUAAAAUGAACUGAGUGUCUAGAUCACAGAAAAGUCUUCCUUAUACUCAAUUUGUCUGUCAGUCCUUCAGGACUAUUACUAAAGAAAUGAGAAAUAAAUUAGUAAUAAGCUCUUGUGUCAGUAGGACAUAUAAACUAUUAAAAUUUAGUGCAAAUGCCUGAAUUUUUACUGCUAAAGAACCGUUUAAUAUUUUGAAACUGAGAAGGCAGCAAGGAAAUUUAUAUCAAUGCAUGUAAGCUUAAAAAUGUUUGUGCCACUGGUGUACUACCCCAUCAUCCUCCCCACAAAUUCCUUUGUGAAUUUUCAUUUUUACUUCUCUGUGCUGAAUUACUCAUGGGAAAAAACCAAACCCAAACAAAUACACUACCAUUCUCAUCCCAUAACUAGUAGCUCAGGAUUUUAAUUAACUGAUAAAAACUAUUUGGCUAAAAGUAAUAUCAUGUGACUAACAAGACCAGCAGCAACACAAUGCAGCCUGAGAUGGACCAUGGAUUAUGCUGUUUUAAGUAGUAAAUUUGCAGACAGGUGCUUUUGUAUGCCACCCAUUUCUCACCUCUGUAACCAUCACACAUGUUGAGACUCUAAAUGGAAGACUUACAGAUUAGCAGAUAAUUUAUUUUUUUUUUUAAUUUAAAGAGUAAUUUCUACUAUAUCUGUGGUAGUGGAUUGCAUGGUGUGUAAAACCAGUCAAAUUAUUUAUCAAUGCAACAGAAAUGAAAGGAAGGAUUUUCUGACAGGUUUGAGGCAAGUUUGCAGCACUGCUGGGAUGUGGAAGCCUCAUCCAUGCCUGUUCAGCCCCCAGCUGCAGUACCCAUGUCUGUGCACUCUGUUUUCUGCUGUGCACGUGAAUCCAUUUGUUCUUUGGAGCAGCAUCCUGCAGGGCCUAAGAGGAAAGUUUUUUAUGGCUUAAACUCUAGUAAUAACCUCCUGCUUCUGAAUACUUCACAUUUGCCACUUGCAUUGUAGUCCAUCCCUUAUUUGAAAGCUCAGGACUUAGUGGUGAACUGAAGGAACUGUUGUUGAUGCUGAUGCUGGAGAGAUUUUUGACUGGGGUCAUUGAUGCUGCAGAAUGUGAUUUAUAUGCAGAUAACAUCACUAUGAAGUGAUCAUAGUAGAUGAUGUGUAACUGCUGAACAGGACACUUCAGCAUGAUGCAGUCACUACAAUGCUCUCAGCUGGUUUGAAUUCAGGUCAUAUAUGGGAUACUCCACAGCUGCUUUUAGUGUCUCACCAUGGAACCACUGUCCAAAACCCUGCCUCUUCCUGUUGGGGUGUAAUACUGGUAAAAUAAAGUUUUGUUUUUUUGGUUUUUUUUUAACCAAGAAAUAGGAUUGCAGAGUUAAAACAUAAAGCUUAGCCAAGUUAUUUGGUGACCAACUGAUUUUGUUCAGAUGGUAAAGUAGCAGAUCAUUUGCAGAAGACAGCCUUCUUUUGACUGCCUUCUUCUGCUGAUCUUCACAUGAUGUGGCAGCAUAAAAUGAAAGAAUCUUCUCAUGACUACAAGCCUUAGUGUAUCUCCUCUUUAAUUCAUAUUUUUCCAAGGAAUAGUCUGCAUCUGAAGAACUAAAAAAAAGAUGUAACUGGAGCAGAGGGCUGUACUAUGUGAAAGAUAUGUUAUGACUGAAUAUAUGUCUCUAUGCCAUUCAAAAGUGAAUGUUCUUUUGUGUCCAGACAAAAUACUGGCCAUCUAUGACGUGUAAGCAACUACUUUGGACAAGUCACAAACAGAUAUAAAAGAAAUGCAAGAAUCACUGAGAAAUUAUGGACUAGAAGUGGCAGUGACACACUGCAAGUCAGUGCUUGGAGCAGGGUCCAAUUCAUAUUUCUACAGGGAUUGUCCAUUAAUGUCAGAACACAGUAGAAUGGAGCCUCGCUGCAGAUUCCCCCCAGACAGUGCUGGAACUUUAUUGUUGAGCUGCAGUGACACACUCCCAACUUCCAAACUGUCUCCAGGUGGAGCAAUUGAAAACUCAGUACAGGCUGCCCCUUCUCAGCAGGACCUUCUCUUCCAGUCAUGUCUUUCCUGUCAUAACAGUCCCAAUGAUAAGGAAUGUUGGGGAUUUUCACAAAUGGAACAGGACAGAUGGGUGAUGAGUCACGAGCUUUUAUUUCGGGCACCUGUCUCAGUUACAGACUCAAGAGAUGGUACAAGCUCACAUCUCCAUGAGCAGCUGGAGAUCUCUUUGUUACAGAACAUUUUAUAAGUUUUUCAGCCAACAGCAUAUUGCUGAAGCUUACAGACAAUUGUUAUAGCCAAUCACUAAAAACACAUGUGCACCUUCUUUAAACAAUGUUUGCUUUCUAUUAACAAUACACGAUACUCUGUUAUUAAGCUUAAAACCUUCUGCUGUCUUGGUAAACACAUUUUUCUGCAGUCUUAAGGUCUGUCCUUAGCCAAGCUUAAAAACUCAACUAUUGUUUCAUGUCCUUGCAUAUUGUUUUAUUGUAUCUUCCUUACUUUCAGGCCUUGCAGCUAGCUCUAACUUCUCUGCUUUUUCUUUUCUGAGGCCCAUUUUCACAGCUUCUGAAAGCCUUCUUACCUUUACUGUUCCCACAGGGAAGGUGUGUGCUAACACCUUUAAAAAACUUUCCUAGGUGAAGGUAUGGGUGUUGACAUCUUUGAAAUGAGUCUUAAUGUCUGUACUAACUUCAAGCUGCAGUUUGUUACAGAGCCUAGACAGCUCAGCUCCUGGAACAGACAAUGAGUCUGCACAAGCCUGGAUUUCUGAAGCUUGGGAUAAAAUGCCAGGUUCAAGGCGGAAUAUGUGGUAGGUGUUCAGGAAGGCUGAUGGGGAAAGGAAUGUGUGGCCAGGAGUUGAACAGGAAAGGAGGCUGCACCUUCCAAAACGUCGAGAGAGAAAACCCCACGGGCGUGUGCCCCAGUGGACUCUCUCACUUUAUUCAAAUAAAGUUCAAGGACUGCUCUGUCUCCUUUUUGGACAUAAACCUCUGGUGUUUGGAACAGUUUUCUGUACACAAUGUUUGAGAUACAAACAUGCCUGGUCCUCCACCGGAGUCCCAGCUGUAUCCUACCAGACACGUUAAGAGUCAUGUUAUCACAAAAGAAAUAAAAAAUUAUUAAACUACCCAUCAGAACAGGUUAAAUUAUCAAAUAUCCAGGGAAAUAGAUCAGCUAUCAGGUCUAGAUAUCAGGGGAUCAGAAACACAAAUAUUUCUCAUAACCCCGGGAAUUUUUCUGUGAAUUCCCUGAAGGGUGAAAGAGUAGAAAAUUUUCAAAUCAAAUAAUGCUCAUGGAUCUGGGCUGGAAGUUUAGAGACAGUUUGGGCAUUAAACACUUCUAAAAUCCCAGAAAAAUGGACUGAAUAUGUAGCAUUUGAGUACUUGAUGUACUGGCUUUCUAAGAGUCUGAAGAUACCAUGACUAUUGAAAAGAGUUUUAGAGAAAAUGUCACGGUGGGAAAAAUGUCCAGAAGAGAGUUAUAUAAAUAUUUUGCUGGAUUUUAUUAGGCAGGGACACAUAAAUUAGGUAAGGAGAGAAGGAAGCCAGAAAGACACAACUUUAGUGCUGCUGUGAGCAGAAACCUGUCUCAAAAAUGUGUUGCAGGAUAUACACCAGUUCAGUAACACUGGGUUUGAUUAACUGAACCCAACCAAAUUACAAUUAGGGGAGAAAACAAGUGUUUCAUAUAGAGAUUAAAUAAGAAUUACUGCUGAAGCUGCUCCAAUUUUCAAAUAAUCUAAUAAAUAAAAAGAGGGUUAAUGGUAGCAUUUAAUUUUAACAAGUGGACAGUUUGUAGGAAAACUGCUCAUUUACUCUAAGAAUAGAUAAAAUAAGUUGCGGAGUUGUUCCUUUGGAUUGUUUUUUUUUUCAAAUUUUAGAUAAUAUUUUUCAUUUCAGAAAGUCAGCCUUUGAGAGUUUCAGGGAAUGAGUUGAUAAAGGAAACUAAGGAGCUUAAAGUUAUAUAGGAUUUUUCAUUUCCAGAUACAUAUUGCUUCUUUAAUCUCAUAUUGUGUACAACAGGGAAAACAAUACAAGAAAGGACUCUGAAUCUGAGGAGAUGAGUACUCGCCAGUAAUCUUUUUGGGGUAAACACCAUACAGUGAUAAAAUGAAGGAAGAUGUGCCUUAAAGGCUGAAGGAAGAUGUGCCUUAAAAUCAAGAAGAAGAAGAGAAUUUGUGCAUUGCUUCAAUCAAGAUAAACCAGUCUUUGAAAAAAGCCCAUCUAUACAAAUGUGUAACCUACACCACAUCCACGGGAUCAGAGAGUUGUUGGUAAAUCUCAGCUGGACUAAAAGGAUGCUCACAACCCAAUCAUUUGUCUUUGCCUAGGCUUAAGCCAUUGUGUUUUUGGACAACUUGUUUUGCAGAGAUGUUCUUUACCUGUCACUACUGGGAUAUUAAAUAAGAGAUAUAAACCUGUCUGCUGAUUCAAGAAUUACAGAAGACUGAAAUACCUUCAUAAAUUAUUAGGCUUUAAAGAGUUUCAAUUUUACAUUAAUCUAUAGCUGACCUAGUAAAUAAAUAAAUGUUACAAGUCCCCCUUGAAAUACUAAGAGAAGAAUUUGUGAGAAGGUGUCUUUCCAAAAAUACUCCUUAACCAAGCUCAUACUUUCAUGCCUCAAAUAUAAAUUUUUAGACCCUGUUUGGAAAUAGGUGGAUGAAAAGUAAGCAUCUGUGAUAAUCAGACAGAAUAAACACUGCAAUUACAUAUUUUAAAUCUAGAAGUGAUAAAUAUUUUAAUUAUCUGCCUUUGUCAAGCACAAGUACUUGUCUGAAAGAGUGAUAAAAGUUUAACUUCUCAAGGAAGUGGUUAUAGUAUGAUCAAAAUCAAUCAGUCACGGCUAAUGGCUAACACAGGCCAUUUGAUUCUUCCCCAAGAGCUGGUUUGCAACCACAAACAGAAUGAAGAGCUGCUGAUGCAACAACAUUCUCUCUAGGCAAACACAAAUGAUAUCAUUCCAAACAAACACAAAUGCUUCAUUCCCAUCUGAAGCAGCAUAUUCAAAUAAAAGUGUCCUACAGUUCACCACAUCCAUAUCAGAGCAGCAAGAAUGUUUUUUCAAAACUUGCUGAAAUAUUUCAUGGGUUAUUUUUGAAGUGUCAAUACAAGCAUUUUACUGAGUUAUAAGUGACGCAUGAGCCAUGAUUUUUUAAGAAAUGGAAACAUUUCAGUCUUUCAACCUACAACUCAGUUCACCAUGUUCUAUUUUUAUGGUGCAGGAAAAAAGUGCCUCAGCUCACUGAGAGUUCAGAUUGCUACAUAGCAGUGUGCAUUUCACAGUGUAGCAGAAAGGAGGUCAGGUUUUGUUUCCUGAGUUGUUAAAUACUCGGUAACCUAUGCACCUAACCUCAGCAGAAUCUGAGCAAGUGACACUCCCGCUCCUGUAUUUUCUAAGGCAAUAAAUUCCAUUACAUAUUUAUUCAGCUGAUCCAUAAUUACCUAUCUAUGGUGCCAUUUUAAAGUUUGUAUUAGCAUUCAGCUGGUUUUUCUAGUUUUCUGUCAGAUCCUUCUUUUGUUUCAAUAAGAGCUGCAGUGCUGCAGGAUGAGGUUUUGUGCCCUACACUUUGAUGCAGCCUUCACAAUGCUAUUCUGUUCUGGAAAUAACAGUUUUCAAGGGGAGAGAUUGACUUUUCCUCAUGUCUAUGAGAGGGACUGAAUUUCUUCUGUGAUGUGAAGCUUGAUUUGAGUCUGAAUUAUGAUGCCUCAAUAUUUAAUACACUACUGACAAUGACCAUAACUUCAAAAAUAUUACAGGAUCUUCCUGCUACCUUUAGCAGAUAAAUCCCUUCUGAGAAAAGCAGUGCCCAAAGCCAUGUUCUUACCACAGUUUUUGUAUGCAGGUGAAGUUUCUCAAAGUCUGGCUAGGAUCAAGCUAAUCCUGUGUGGUGCUGUGUUUUAGAUUUGUGACCAAAAUUGUGCUGGUAACACAGUUAUGUUUGAGUUAUUUAGUGUUUGCACAGCAUCAAACUCUGUUCCUCACUCUGCCUCCUGGUGAGUGGGUCGGGGGAUGUGAGAGAGGUUGGCAGGGCACAGAGCCAGGUAUGUGACCUGAGUUAGCUGAUGUUGUUCAUGUGAUGCUAUGCUCAUCAAUAAAGAGGGAAAAGAGGAGGUUUAGGGAGGUUUAGCCAUCAUUUUCUUGGGAACUGUCAAGACACUGGUCUACUCAUGAAAGGUUGUGAGUGACAGCCUUUGCAUUACUUGUUUAUUUUAUUUCUCUCUUCUUCCACUUCUCCUUCUCACCAAACAGUUUGUAUCUUGAUCCAUCAGUUCUGUUGAUUUCAAAUGGAAUUGCAGAAGUCAUGCAGGGUACAAGAGCUGUUAAAAUUCAGUGUAUAUAGCUAUUGAUGACACUCUAAUACACAAAGUGUGUAUGUAAAACUGGAGUAUAUUCAAACGCAAUGUCAAAACUUGCCUCUGGUAUUGAAAACUGAAAAAGAUGUAGUUCCUUGAAGUUCCCUUCUAACUGUAGUAUUCCAACUCUCUUCAUGGAAUUAUUCCACAUUGGAAGGACGUGGCCAAUGCAACAACCCAAGACACAAGUUAAAAAAUUCAUCUGCCAAGAGUCAGGAAAUACAGUUUUAUUAUUCCAUUGUUGCAUUUGCAGAUAGACAAGCUAUCUGCACUUCUAGCACAUAAUUCAGCAUAUUACCAGCUUCUCAUCAUUGUUUUUCCUCAGAUUUUAUUAUCUAUCAUAAAUACCAGUUGCUGAGUCAUUUUAUACAGUCUGUUGAUGAACAGCUUCAAUACAGAGACAAAUUCAAUUGAACAUUUUCGUGUAUCUUUGGAACUCAUACCCCAGCGCUGUGUUACUGAGGGAACAUCAUCAUCACACUCAAAUAUUGGCUGCAGGGUACUGUCACUAGAGUGAGGGGUAACUGAGUGGGGAGAGGAGUUAAAGGUGUAUUUUCAAAGCUUUAUUGCUCAGAGUACCAACCACUGCCUGUCCCUCAAGGAGAUGAGCUUUCUGUCAGAGAAAUUUCUGACACGUGGAUUUCUCCCCGCACGAAUUCAUAGGGUCCAUGGAAUUCUCUGCUCACUUCUCUGCUCACUCAGUGCCUUGUAAUUUCAAGUCCUAGUGUCAUAAAAUGUCUUUUUGACAUCAUUUAGCCCUAAAGUUAUCACAAAUCUACUGUUACUGUUUUAUCUGUUGCAGACAAGGAAGUAGAGAAUUAAGGAGUUUUCUAUAAACAGGGAUUGAAUAACUUCAUGCUGUAGUUUAACAUCAGAAAACACUAGAAAAUAAAGUUGCCUUUUUAAGACUUGAUCGCUGCAGCUAUAAUUUGAUACAAACUAUUAACUAGAACAUCAAUUUUUAGUUUAACCAUAUGUUACCAACGGACUGCCUAAUUAUGGGGAGGUUAAGUAGCUGGCAAAGCAAAUUUUAUGGAGAAGAAGCUGCCACUAGUAGAAGUUUUAUGCUCUUUUGUGUUUCUACUUGACACAGGAAUUCUGAGGUCUGAGAUAAUAUUAGAUAAGCCAGUGUUUAGUGUUUUUUUCCUUCCUUUUUUAUGCGUGAGUAGAUAUUUUGUUGUAAUCAUGUGUUAUAAAUUAAUGUAAAUGAAUAAAAUAUAAAGAUAAAUAAAAUUCCAUUACAUGAA